rnacentral:RNase_P_RNA from 1 species
GCCGGAUAAUCGCGCUCCUAUGAGUGAGGAAAGUCCGUGCAUCCAAGGACAACUCGCCGGAGAAACUCCGGACGGUGUGAACCGGUGGAUCGGACCACAGAAAGGGGUUAUGGUAUUUACCGUUAACCCAAAAGACUGCCGAUGGAAUAAUGUAAAUUACUCACAGGCGAUGGUGCAAAGGUGAGGUAAGAGCUCACCGGAUAUACUGAGAAGUAUAUGCCAGGCAACCCCCGAGUGGAUGCAAGAUUGAAUCAAGCGUUUGAGGUGUCCGCCAAGCUUGGAAAAUCGCUGGAGAUUAGGAGUAAUCCUAAUACGAGAUAGAUGAUUAUCAGGGGUUCCCCCGAACAGAACACGGCUUAUGAGCUGCUUU